rnacentral:rRNA from 1 species
AAACACGGACCAAGGAGUCUAACGUGCGCGCGAGUCGCGGGGUGUCGGGUAGCGGCGUGGCGGCUGCCUUCGCGGGCGGUCGCGCGGCGUCGUUGCCCGUUACGAUGCGAAACCCGUACAUGUCGAAGGCGUAAUGAAAGUGAAACUGGGGAAGAUGGCGUUCACCGAGUACACGUACCGCGGUCUUGUACCGCGGCCGGUCGCCCGCAUUCCCGGGGCGUCCCAACGGCACGUCGGCGUUUGCGGAUCGUCGUCUUCGCGGGCGGCGGUCGGGCGUCGACGAACCGGGGCGCACCUAUAGCGUGCACGUUGGUACCCGAAAGAUGGUGAACUAUGCCCGGCCAGGAUGAAGUCAGGGGAAACCCUGAUGGAGGUCCGCAGCGAUUCUGACGUGCAAAUCGAUCGUCUGAGCUGGGUAUAGGGGCGAAAGACUAAUCGAACCAUCUAGUAGCUGG